rnacentral:rRNA from 1 species
UACGUAGGGGGCAAGCGUUGUCCGGAAUCAUUGGGCGUAAAGAGCGUGUAGGCGGCUUGGCAAGUCUCGCGUGAAAUCCUGCGGCUCAACCGCAGGCGGUCGCGGGAAACUGCCUCGCUAGAGUCCGGAAGAGGAGAGUGGAAUUCCUGGUGUAGCGGUGGAAUGCGCAGAUAUCAGGAAGAACACCCGUGGCGAAGGGCGGCUCUCUGGGAACGGUACUGACGCUGAGACGCGAAAGCGUGGGGAGCGAACAGG